CACUAUCGUUAACUGAAUACAUAGGUUAACGAGGCGAACCGGGGGAACUGAAACAUCUAAGUACCCCGAGGAAAAGAAAUCAACCGAGAUUCCCCCAGUAGCGGCGAGCGAACGGGGAGCAGCCCGGAGUCUGAAUCAGCUUGUGUGUUAGUGGAAGCGUCUGGAAAGUCGCACGGUACAGGGUGACAGUCCCGUACACGAAAAUGCACAGGUUGUGAACUCGAAGAGUAGGGCGGGACACGUGGUAUCCUGUCUGAAUAUGGGGGGACCAUCCUCCAAGGCUAAAUACUCCUGACUGACCGAUAGUGAACCAGUACCGUGAGGGAAAGGCGAAAAGAACCCCGGCGAGGGGAGUGAAAAAGAACCUGAAACCGUGUACGUACAAGCAGUGGGAGCACCUUCGUGGUGUGACUGCGUACCUUUUGUAUAAUGGGUCAGCGACUUAUAUUCUGUAGCAAGGUUAACCGUAUAGGGGAGCCGCAGGGAAACCGAGUCUUAACUGGGCGUUAAGUUGCAGGGUAUAGACCCGAAACCCGGUGAUCUAGCCAUGGGCAGGUUGAAGGUUGGGUAACACUAACUGGAGGACCGAACCGACUAAUGUUGAAAAAUUAGCGGAUGACCUGUGGCUGGGGGUGAAAGGCCAAUCAAACCGGGAGAUAGCUGGUUCUCCCCGAAAGCUAUUUAGGUAGCGCCUCGUGAACUCAUCUUCGGGGGUAGAGCACUGUUUCGGCUAGGGGGCCAUCCCGGCUUACCAACCCGAUGCAAACUACGAAUACCGAAGAAUGUUAUCACGGGAGACACACGGCGGGUGCUAACGUCCGUCGUGAAGAGGGAAACAACCCAGACCGCCAGCUAAGGUCCCAAAGUCAUGGUUAAGUGGGAAACGAUGUGGGAAGGCACAGACAGCCAGGAUGUUGGCUUAGAAGCAGCCAUCAUUUAAAGAAAGCGUAAUAGCUCACUGGUCGAGUCGGCCUGCGCGGAAGAUGUAACGGGGCUAAACCAUGCACCGAAGCUGCGGCAGCGACGCUUAUGCGUUGUUGGGUAGGGGAGCGUUCUGUAAGCCGUUGAAGGUGUGCUGUGAGGCAUGCUGGAGGUAUCAGAAGUGCGAAUGCUGACAUAAGUAACGAUAAAGCGGGUGAAAAGCCCGCUCGCCGGAAGACCAAGGGUUCCUGUCCAACGUUAAUCGGGGCAGGGUGAGUCGACCCCUAAGGCGAGGCCGAAAGGCGUAGUCGAUGGGAAACAGGUUAAUAUUCCUGUACUUGGUGUUACUGCGAAGGGGGGACGGAGAAGGCUAUGUCAGCCGGGCGACGGUUGUCCCGGUUUAAGCGUGUAGGUGUGUGUUCCAGGCAAAUCCGGUUCACUUUAACACUGAGGCGUGAUGACGAGGCACUACGGUGCUGAAGUGAUAAAUGCCCUGCUUCCAGGAAAAGCCUCUAAGCAUCAGGUAACACGAAAUCGUACCCCAAACCGACACAGGUGGUCAGGUAGAGAAUACCAAGGCGCUUGAGAGAACUCGGGUGAAGGAACUAGGCAAAAUGGUGCCGUAACUUCGGGAGAAGGCACGCUGAUAUGUAGGUGAAGUCCCUGCGGACGGAGCUGAAAUCAGUCGAAGAUACCAGCUGGCUGCAACUGUUUAUUAAAAACACAGCACUGUGCAAACACGAAAGUGGACGUAUACGGUGUGACGCCUGCCCGGUGCCGGAAGGUUAAUUGAUGGGGUUAGCGGCAACGCGAAGCUCUUGAUCGAAGCCCCGGUAAACGGCGGCCGUAACUAUAACGGUCCUAAGGUAGCGAAAUUCCUUGUCGGGUAAGUUCCGACCUGCACGAAUGGCGUAAUGAUGGCCAGGCUGUCUCCACCCGAGACUCAGUGAAAUUGAACUCGCUGUGAAGAUGCAGUGUACCCGCGGCAAGACGGAAAGACCCCGUGAACCUUUACUAUAGCUUGACACUGAACACUGGUCCUUGAUGUGUAGGAUAGGUGGGAGGCUUUGAAGCGUGGACGCCAGUCUGCGUGGAGCCGUCCUUGAAAUACCACCCUUUAAUGGCUGGUGUUCUAACGUGGACCCGUGAUCCGGGUUGCGGACAGUGUCUGGUGGGUAGUUUGACUGGGGCGGUCUCCUCCCAAAGAGUAACGGAGGAGCACGAAGGUUAGCUAAUCCUGGUCGGACAUCAGGAGGUUAGUGCAAUGGCAUAAGCUAGCUUGACUGCGAGAGUGACGGCUCGAGCAGGUGCGAAAGCAGGUCAUAGUGAUCCGGUGGUUCUGAAUGGAAGGGCCAUCGCUCAACGGAUAAAAGGUACUCCGGGGAUAACAGGCUGAUACCGCCCAAGAGUUCAUAUCGACGGCGGUGUUUGGCACCUCGAUGUCGGCUCAUCACAUCCUGGGGCUGAAGUAGGUCCCAAGGGUAUGGCUGUUCGCCAUUUAAAGUGGUACGCGAGCUGGGUUUAGAACGUCGUGAGACAGUUCGGUCCCUAUCUGCCGUGGGCGCUGGAGAAUUGAGGGGGGCUGCUCCUAGUACGAGAGGACCGGAGUGGACGCAUCACUGGUGUUCGGGUUGUCAUGCCAAUGGCACUGCCCGGUAGCUAAAUGCGGAAGAGAUAAGUGCUGAAAGCAUCUAAGCACGAAACUUGCCCCGAGAUGAGUUCUCCCUGAGACUUUAAGUCUCCUGAAGGAACGUUGAAGACGACGACGUUGAUAGGCCGGGUGUGUAAGCGCAGCGAUGCGUUGAGCUAACCGGUACUAAUGAACCGUGAGGCUUAACCUU
rnacentral:rRNA from 1 species